GCCUUCGUGGUGUAAUGGUCAGCACACUCAGCGCGUAUUCGAGAGGUCCGAGGUUCGAGUCCCGGCGAGGGUA
rnacentral:tRNA from 1 species